rnacentral:rRNA from 2 species
CCUGGAAAUAGCUCCAUCAUGAGAUCGUACCCUAAACCGACACAGGUGGACUGGUAGAGAAUACCAAGGCGCUUGAGAGAACGAUGUUGAAGGAACUCGGCAAAAUACCUCCGUAAGUUCGCGAGAAGGAGGCCCAGUUUCUACGCAAGUAUUGACUGGGGGCACAAACCAGGGGGUGGCGACUGUUUACUAAAAACACAGGGCUCUGCGAAGUCGCAAGACGACGUAUAGGGUCUGACGCCUGCCCGGUGCCUGAAGGUUAAAAGGAGGGGUGAGAGCCUCGAAUUGAAGCCCAGGUAAACGGCGGCCGUAACUAUAACGGUCCUAAGGUAGCGAAAUUCCUUGUCGGGUAAGUUCCGACCUGCACGAAUGGCGUAACGACUUCCCCGCUGUCUCCAACAUCGACUCAGCGAAAUUGAAUUGCCUGUCAAGAUGCAGGCUUCCCGCGGUUAGACGGAAAGACCCCGUGCACCUUUACUACAGCUUCACACUGGCAUCAGGCCAUGCAUGUGCAGGAUAGGUGGUGGGCAUUGAAACCGGAACGCCAGUUCCGGUGGAGCCUCCCUUGAGAUACCACCCUUGCAUUGCUUGAUGUCUAACCGCGGUCCGUUAUCCGGAUCCGGGACCCUGUGUGGCGGGUAGUUUGACUGGGGCGGUCGCCUCCUAAAGCGUAACGGAGGCGCGCGAAGGUUGGCUCAGAGCGGUCGGAAAUCGCUCGUUGAGUGCAAUGGCAGAAGCCAGCCUGACUGCGAGACUGACAAGUCGAGCAGAGUCGAAAGACGGCCAUAGUGAUCCGGUGGUCCCGAGUGGAAGGGCCAUCGCUCAACGGAUAAAAGGUACGCCGGGGAUAACAGGCUGAUACUGCCCAAGAGUCCAUAUCGACGGCAGUGUUUGGCACCUCGAUGUCGGCUCAUCUCAUCCUGGGGCUGGAGCAGGUCCCAAGGGUACGGCUGUUCGCCGUUUAAAGAGGUACGUGAGCUGGGUUUAGAACGUCGUGAGACAGUUCGGUCCCUAUCUGCCGUGGGUGUAGGAUACUUGAGAGGAGUUGCCCCUAGUACGAGAGGACCGGGGUGAACGAUCCACUGGUGGACCUGUUGUUGCGCCAGCAGCAGUGCAGGGUAGCUAUGAUCGGACAGGAUAACCGCUGAAGGCAUCUAAGCGGGAAGCCCCCCUCAAAACAAGGUAUCCCUGAGGACCGUGGUAGACCACCACGUCGAUAGGCCGGAGAUGUAAGUGCAGCAAUGCAUUCAGUUGACCGGUACUAAUGGUCCGAUAGGCUUGAU